UCAAUACUCAAAUCCCAAUCACAAAUCCCACUAGUGAGUAACAACAUGAAAUUAGCAGUUUGCCAAGUCUAUUAACCAAAUAAUUUAAAUAGAAACAAUAUGAAACACUGACACAACCAACAUCUCCCAAAGACCUGGGGUCAUGAGUCUAGAGCCUCUAAGAUAAUAAAGUAGCAAAUCCUCAUGUAAUACAGAGUUCUAGAAUGCGAUAAGAUAAAAGGGGAUAAGGGGAGGAGUUGGGUUCUAUGAACGUCGGGCAGCUACCUCGACAACUCCUGAAAGCUCUGAAAACAACAAGCAGCUCGACUAAGCUCCCGAUGCUCCUGAAUCUGCACGCAUGGUGAAUGGAGUAAAGUGAGUACUUCCAACUCAGUGGUAAUAGACAUAUAUAAUGGCUGAAAGUAAGAAAUCUCGAAAAUACCACAAUGUAGAGCUAAAACUAACAAUUUAGCAUAAUUAGCAAUGAAAUGGCAACAAAACAAAAUCAGAUAACAACAAAGCAUGAAUGCAAUGCAAUGCACGACCGUUGCGGUGUACAGCCCUAUCCAUUUGGGUAUCUGCACUCACUAUGAGGGUUCAGACUCCGGAGGGGCUCCUACAGCCCAAGCGCAAUAUCAUCGUGACAUCGUUGUGGCGUGCAUCCCGAUCCACACUCAGUCCAGAAUAUGUAUAUGCGUUAUACAACAAAGUCAGAUUUUAGUUCUCAGUUCCAAUUAUUAGGAAAAUUAUUGUUUAAGUCUUUAAAACCUUAGGAAUGUGACCAAGUAUUUCAAAAUAGUUUUUAAAACUUAGGACUGAACUCAUAUAGCAUGUUGAAUAUCAUGGAAGCACUGAUAAUAAUCCCAAGGGAUUCAAAUAGUUGGCACACGGCCCAAGUAUAUCAUAACAAUCCAAGUAGGAUGUUUACUAAUUAGUCUAUUGUCCAAAACAUAGCUUGAACACCACUCGGGGCGGAAUAAACCAUAAUCCCCAAUCACAAACGACCCCGCACUCGUCAUGGAGUGCAUGUCUCACCUAAAUAUAGCAUUACAGUGUGAUGUACCGGGGUUUCAAACCCUUAGGUCAUCAUCUACAACCAUUACUCACCUCUAGCCGGCCACAGACUAGCUCGCAAUGCCCUUUCCUCUCGAAUCGACCUCCUCGCGCGUCGAAUCUGGCCAAAACCACAAUGAAUAUGUUACAAUAGGCUAAUAGAAUACAACCCAAUCGAAAAGACUCGAAAAACACCAAAAAUCACGAAGUUUGCAAAACUCGAGGCCCGAGCCCACUUCUCAAAAUCAAGAAAACUUUACAUCAAGACGAUCCUUAUCUCGCCAUGAGUCUAUACAUAUCAAAUUCACAAGAAUCGGAGUCCAUUUGACCCCUCAAAUAAUCAAUUUAAGCUCUCUUAAGUUUCAAGCCCUAACCUCCAUUUUUAGCAUUUAAUCCCUUGAAUUUUAGUGUUUAAUCCAUGAUUUUACACUAUAUAAACAUAAUCCGAGUCCAAUAGUUCAUACCUGAUGAAACCCCUUCGAAUUCUCUUCAAAAUCGCCCAAGAAAUCGCCUAAGCCGAAGUCCAAAAUAUUUUUCCUUCUCUUUCAAAUUCGUGAAAGACUGUUCAUUAAACCAGGUCAAUUUCUACUCCUGCGGUCAAGUAACCACACCUGCGGUCCUCGCACAUUCUUCGAACUCUCUUCAAAAUCUCCCAAGAAAUCGCCUAAGCCGAAGUCUAAAAUAUUUUUCCUUCUCUUUCAAAUUCGUGAAACACUAUUCAUUAAAACCCAGGUCGAUUUCCGCUCCUGCGGUCAAAUAACUGCACCUGCUUUCCCCGCACAUGCGACCAAACAAUCGCUUAUGCGAUCUCACUUAAAAUACCCCGGACUGCUUAUGCGGUCUAGAACCGCUUCUACGGUCGCCACAUUUGCAGAUCCACGUCCGCUUUUGCGGAAAGCCCUGGUCCCUCAAGGACCGCUUUUGUGACCAAUGUGCCACAUCUGUGGAACCGCUUAUGCAGUCCCUUUUCCGCAAAUGCGGAAAUGACAGAACCAGCAAGGACUGAAACAUGCACCAACUUCGAAUCCUCCGUUUAACCACCCGAAUACACCCCGAGGCCCCCAGGACCUCAACCAUAAGCACAUACAUGAUGCGUUACCUUAUUCAAACUUGCUCAAACUAUCAAAAUACUUCGUUAACAUCAAUCCUCAAUUACCAUCAAAACAAAGCCUAAGUUUCUUAAAAACUUCUGAAUUGCACAUUCGAUAAAAAACUCAACCUAACCACCUCUGAAUGGCCUAAAACUUUGCACACAUAUCCAAAAUCACCUAACGGAGCUUUUCAACUCUCGAAAUUCCAUUCUGACCCCCGGAUCAAAAUUUCACCUAUCCACCGGAUUUCGCCAAAAUACUAACUUCGCCAAUUCAAGCCUAAUUCUAUAUCGGACCACCAAAAUCAAUUUUGAUCGCACUCCUAAGUCACAUAUUAUCCCUCGAAGCUAACCAAAUCAUCAGAAUUCACAUCCGAGCCCUCUAACUAAAUAGUCCAUUUCCAGUUGACUUUUUCAAAAUAAGUUUUCUUUUAAGAGACUAAGUGUCUCACUUCCAUCUAAAACCAAUCCAAUUCUAUUCGAUCACCUCAAAUACCAAUAAUGAAGCAUAAGGAAACAUAAUAUGAGAGAAAUGGAAUGGUAACUCACGUGACGAAGGGUCGGGUCGUCACAUGGAAGUAUUCAAGUAUUUGGCCUUGUUAUGUGUAGGCGGAUCUCGGAAGGGUCAUGAGGGUUUAGACCACUACAUGAGGAUUUGAAUGUUCUAUGGUUAUGAGAAUUCACUCUCGUGUAGCUAUGGUUCUCUUGGAAUGAGUUAAAUAAAAAGUUUCUAUGUUAUGAAGUGUUUAACCUAAUAGUGGUUCAGGAGUUAUGAUGAAAUUCUUGUACUAUCGCAUAUUGGCUUGUUAGGUGCAGUAAGUGAUAUGAAAUUUGAAAGUGAGGAUCAAGGUUGCGGUUCGGUGUUUGACGAGGAUGUCAGGAGCUCGGAUGAGCAAGAAGUGGAUUUGGAUAUUUGGAGUAAGUUGUUAUUGUCUUCAGCGUCACCUAAGAUCGGCAUUUUAUGUAGGAGGCUUUGCAUCUUGGUUACGAAUUCUUGAUAUGCUUUACAAUAUUAGUAUGAUCGGUGGUAUGGAUGUUCAGACUCAUUAUCUUGUGCGGAAGGUCGUGGGAGCAUAUCUCACUGGAUGAUUGUAUAAGUGUGACAUGUAAUCUCUUAAUUGAUCAAAGAAUUAAACCAAGUAUGAAGAUUGUGGAAAUAUCACUAAUUUGAGAAUUUAUGCUUGUAGGGCACUCCGUUUAUUGGUUUAUGGAUUGUGGAGGUUUGCUCCGGAUAUGAGGGUUAUUCUUGUAAGUUAUGGAAAAAGGGGUCAUUAUGGACCCUUAAAAGGUUAUUAGCCUAGCACGUGCGGUCAAAAUAGGCUCAAGGUCAGUGGGCGGAUUUAAAUAUUAAUAAGGACUCUACAUCAGACCGGAUGUGUUCAUUUCAGCAUGGCGAUCCUCAUAGAGGAGUAUUCAAACAUUGGAUGUUGUUUCAUCGUCGGCUAUUUCAUGUAAUAUUAUAUUGUGGCGUGUGAGUUGUGAGACGACUUGAUAAAUUUCUUAUGUGUUGAGGUUCCACGUAGAGACGAUGUUACGUGAGCAUGAUGGCUCUGGUGAUUCAGAUUAAAUAUCUCACCUUAGUUGUGUUUGAGUUUUGUAGCUUAUGGCACUAUCUGUCUCCCCAGGGAUGAUAUUAUGCACUUAGCGUGCUUGCAGCCGAUAUUCGGUAUUUAGUAGUAAUAAGCAAUUUAGCUCAGUGUGUAUCUCCUUGUGUGAGUCCAAGGUAUGGAUCGGGUGGUACGCCACCACGGAUAUGUUGUUUGGAUCAGGUUGUACGCCGAAACAGUAUGAUGUUGAGUACAGUUUGUUACACCUCCUUUUUACUACACCCGCAAGGGCAUAAAAGAGUUUUUCCACUUAAAGAAUAAUCGGAACAAGAUUUAGUUUAUUAAUUAUUCAGAGUUGCCACUUCAGAGUUUAAUGGUGUCCCAAGUCACCGAUUGAAUCCCGAACCGAGGAAAGAUAUGAAUCUGUUACAGUCUGCGAACCAGAAAUCUGAGUAAAGAAUUCUGUUAACCCGGGAAAAUGUGUUAAGCAUUCUCGGGUUCCGUGGUUCUAGCACGGUCGCUUAACUGUUGUAUUUGAUUUUAUCCGAUUUUAAUACAUGCUAGCUUAUGUGCCUUUUAUUCAUAAACUGCUUUUUAUCACUGUUUAUUUUAAUAGAAUUGUGACGUCAUGACAACGCAUUUCGAACCACGUCGCAAUCAAUGCACCCGUGGUUGUCAACAUAUUUUGACUUCGUCGAGAUUAAAGAAAGUAAUUUAAUUAAAUCACGCCUAAAGAUUCUAACGUAAUAUUAUUUGGGGAAAAUCGUGAAGUUCGCUAAACGACCCUCUCAAAUUCUAAGCAUUUUCAGAUAACAAUUACUGAGCGCCCCGUAUUUGUACAUUUUAUUUGGCGAGGCACGACUCACUCAUUACUUUCUAAAAGGGAAUGUCUAAAAAUAAACCUGAAGGUUCAUCGACUAUUUGUUAUCCAAUUAGGGCUCACCUCAAUUGUUUUAAUUCAAGGCCCACGAGUAAUUAUGAAACUAACAAAAUUUCUGCUAGUCGAAACUUAAUAGAACGAAGUGAGUCAAGUCCAGGCCCACACAAUAGGCCUGGUGUUUUUGGCUCAACACUAGAGCAACAUAAUCGAACCCCAGCAGCAACGAGAGGGCUCGAAUUAUUUUGAUUCUUUAGACCUGGCGUUAACAUGUCAAGUAAUAAGGUCUAUAUAUGUAGGUUACCAAAGAUACUGGGAAUUCAAAUUAAACUGCUCCUAUUGGAAAAUCAAUUUUAGAGAAUUUGACCAAUUGGAUAGUCAUUUUAAAACAAAUUUGUGCAAUAGUGUCAGGAAAUUAAUUAGAGUCAACAUAGGCUGCUCAUUUACUCAAAACAUGAAAUUAACUACAAUUUGUAAUCAAACUAACCUAUGAAUCAGUUAACAACCCACAGAGAUUCACAGUCCAAACUGCGUAAACACUACUUUAACUACAAAAAAAACUGCCUACAAAUACUAACAAGUAACGAUGCACUACAUUUUUCCUUUUUCAUCAACUCAAUUUUGAUCUAAUUACUACCAUUCCAAUAGAAAUCCACUUAACAUUAAGGAAUAAAAGUUUAACUACACAAAUAGAACAGAGGCUAAAUCAAAACUUCAAUUCAUCAUACAUGCUCAAUCUUCAUGUUUUCAGCUUACAAUUGCCAAAUUUUUAGCAGUAUACCUGGAAUUCGAAAUUAAAAGGAAGAAGAAUAAGUUAGCAACAGCAACCACGAUCAGAAUUCAAUCAGCCAUGAAUCACUUCAGCAAACCAGGAGAGCGUGAAACCAAGCAACCCAUCAAUUAACCAUAACUACUCGAGUGAAGUUGAAAUUUGAUCCAGGAUACACAGAACACGUUCAGCAAUCGAACCAACAAAGGACAAACCUCCAAAUGAACCUAUAUGCUGUAAAUCUCGCACACAGAACUGAAGACGGAGAUGUUUGAGCUAUUUUUAAUCCUAACUAAGCUAGGAAAACUGAAUCACUGAUUAAAAAUUGAAAGUGAUCUAAUGGGAGGCAAUGAAGUAAUUUUUUUGAUUUUUCUGUUUAAUAUUUGCUUUUGUGUUUGGUUUUUGGAAGAUUUGAAGUUUGGAUUGCAAAUUUUAGAUCUGGAAUUAGUGAACAAUGGGAGGGAUUUUUGGGAGGCUCCAAACUUAUGAAUGAAGUAAAUGACAUGCCCUUUUAUAGGCACAAAUGAGGGCAGCCCUCAGAUUUUCAGUUUUCCUUUUAGUCCCCCCUAAUUUUCAGUUUUCUCCAUUUACUUUUGACUUGCUAAUCAAGUAAACGCCCUCAUUUUGCUGAAAUCUACACUAAAGUAUCAUUCUAGAAGGCCCUAGGAUGCUCUUCUACCCACAAAAUACCUAUACUGCCCUUACCCCU
rnacentral:lncRNA from 1 species